GGAUAUAUGUGUAGAAAGUAUCUUAAGGAGAUAUGACAAUGUAAAAAUCAAGCUCAAUGGGAUUAUGCUGAGGCUC